rnacentral:rRNA from 1 species
GACGAACGCUGGCGGCGUGCCUAAUACAUGCAAGUCGAACGCAGUGGGGACGGGUGAGUAACCCGUGGGUAACCUCCCAUCAGAGGGGAUAACACUUGGAAACAGGUGCUAAACCGAUACUGAUGGAUGGACCCGCGGUGCAUUAGCUAGUUGGUGAGGUAACGGCUCACCAAGGCCACGAUGCAUAGCCGGCCUGGGAGGGUGAUCCGGCAAACUGGGAAUGGGGAACGGGCCAGACUCCUUCGGGGGGCAGCAAGAGGGAAACUUCGGCAAUGGACGGAAGUCUGACCGAACCACGCCGCGUGAGUUGAGAAGGUUUUCGGGUCGUAAAGCUCCGUUGUUAGAGAAGCGGUAACUAACCAGAAAGGGACGGCUAACUACGUGCCAGCAGCCGCGGUAAUAC